rnacentral:piRNA from 1 species
UGAAUGCUGUAACUAAAAGCAUGUGC